AGCAGCCGCGGUAAUUCCAGCUCCAAUAGCGUAUAUUAAAGUUGUUGCAGUUAAAAAGCUCGUAGUUGAAUUUCGGGAUCAAUUUAUCGGUCGUGCCAAUGGUAUGAACUGGUACAAUUGGUUUCCCCCUUCUGACGAAGCAUGAUGUCAUUAAUUUGGUGUCGUGGGGAAUCAGGACUGUUACUUUGAAAAAAUUAGAGUGUUUAAAGCAAGCAUUAGCUUGAAUACAUUAGCAUGGAAUAAUGAAAUAGGACGUUUGAUCCUAUUUCGUUGGUUUCUAGGAUCGACGUAAUGAUUAAUAGGGAUAGUUGGGGGCAUUAGUAUUCAAUUGUCAGAGGUGAAAUUCUUGGAUUUAUUGAAGACUAACUACUGCGAAAGCAUUUGCCAAGGAUGUUUUCAUUAAUCAAGAACGAAAGUUAGGGGAUCGAAGACGAUCAGAUACCGUCGUAG
rnacentral:rRNA from 1 species